rnacentral:rRNA from 1 species
CCUACGGGAGGCAGCAGUGAGGAAUAUUGGUCAAUGGGCGCGAGCCUGAACCAGCCAAGUCGCGUGAGGGAUGACGGCCCUACGGGUUGUAAACCUCUUUUGUCGGGGAGCAAAUUCCGUUACGUGUAACGGAGUCGAGAGUACCCGAAGAAAAAGCAUCGGCUAACUCUGUGCCAGCAGCCGCGGUAAU